rnacentral:rRNA from 1 species
GACAGAGGGUGCAAACGUUGUUCGGAAUUACUGGGCGUAAAGCGCGUGUAGGCGGCUAAGUAAGUCGGGCGUGAAAUCCCACGGCUCAACCGUGGAAGUGCACUCGAAACUGCAUAGCUAGAGUCCUGGAGAGGAAGGUGGAAUGCUUGGUGUAGAGGUGAAAUUCGUAGAUAUCGGGAGGAACACCGGUGGCGAAGGCGGCGAUCUGGGUCGAUACUGACGCUGAGGUGCGAAAGCGUGGGGAGCAAACAGG